GUAGNACCAAGAGAUCGGGAUAACACCUGGAAACAGAUGCUAAUACCGGAUAACAACAGAUGAUGCCUAUCAACUGUUUAAAAGAUGGUUCUGCUAUCACUCUUGGAUGGACCUGCGGUGCAUUAGCUAGUUGGUAGGGUAACGGCCUACCAAGGCGAUGAUGCAUAGCCGAGUUGAGAGACUGAUCGGCCACAUUGGGACUGAGACACGGCCCAAACUCCUACGGGAGGCAGCAGUG
rnacentral:rRNA from 1 species